rnacentral:rRNA from 1 species
UACAGAGGGUGCGAGCGUUAAUCGGAAUUACUGGGCGUAAAGCGCGCGUAGGCGGAUGAAUAAGUUGGGUGUGAAAUCCCUGGGCUUAACCUAGGAAUUGCAUUCAAAACUGUUCGUCUAGAGUAUGGUAGAGGAGGGUAGAAUUUCCGGUGUAGCGGUGAAAUGCGUAGAUAUCGGAAGGAAUACCAGUGGCGAAGGCGGCCCUCUGGACUACUACUGACGCUCAAGUGCGAAAGCGUGGGGAGCAAACGGG